UACAGAGGGUGCGAGCGUUGUCCGGAAUCACUGGGCGUAAAGGGCGCGUAGGUGGCGCGACAAGUCAGUGGUGAAAGCUCGGCGCUCAACGCCGAGUCGGCCACUGAUACUGUUGGGCUUGAGCACUGUAGAGGCUAAUGGAAUUCCGGGUGUAGCGGUGGAAUGCGUAGAGAUCCGGAAGAACACCGGUGGCGAAGGCGGUUAGCUGGGCAGUUGCUGACACUGAGGCGCGACAGCGUGGGGAGCAAACAGGG
rnacentral:rRNA from 1 species